rnacentral:lncRNA from 1 species
UGCAAACUGCCAUGGGUGCGUACGCAGAAACCACAGCGGUCAGAAGACAGUAGACGAACUGUCGGUAAAAGCGCAGUUGAAGUUCUGGCAAAUCACCAUUCACCCAGUGAAAUUUAACUUCAGGUUGAAAGCAAACUGAACACAUUAGAAGAAAAUGGAAAACUACUGUGGCCUUCAACCCCGCCCACAAUAAACGCUGCCACAUUUCCGAUCAGAGAUGUUAUGCGAGGGUUAAGUGAAACUUUGAAAAGUGCAUUUCUACUACUGUCCAUCCAUUUUGAUGAAACAUGGUAUCAGGAUUACAAAGUUUAAAAGUGAGUCUGGGCACAAUCAGUUUGACAUCCUCAGACAUUCCUGUCCCAACACCGAGGGCUGUGGGAGGAGUCCCCUCCAGAAACUCAGAAAUGUCAGAUUUGGGAAUAGAAGAUGCUGCUCUUGCUCCUGAUCAUUACAUGUAAUGCUGUAUUGGAAGACUGUAGCUGCACUCACAGCAGAGAAAUGAAUAUUCUUUGUUUCUGAGUUGUUGGCUGGUGUCCUUAUUUGUUCUUUGCUCAAUUAUUUGUUGUAUUUGCUGUAUGACAGAAAUAGCUGUGGUAUGUGCUAUGGAAAUGUAAAAACUGUACACUUAUGGCUAAUGUAUCUCCAGAACAGUGCAUAAAAUCUAAUCCUGAAAUGAAC